rnacentral:lncRNA from 1 species
UGCCUUCCCGGCCCCCUCCCCGGCCCAGCUGUGACACAAGCAAGCGAGCGUCCAGACUCUCCCAAGCGAAAACCAGCCAGAUUUGCUGGAAGCAGGGAUCGGAGUGUCUCACAGUUUAUGCCAACAGUUUGUAAAAGAGACGGGACAUGUUUCUUCCAAAUGCACAACCGGAGACAGGUCAUCCAUGAGCCGCCAGAACACAUUUCACAUGAAGCGUGAAAUGUCCCGGGAGCCGAGUGAUGAAGGACCCAACCACAGACCACUGUAAGCAGCCAAGCAUCCCUGAAGAGUGUGCCAGGAAGCCUCACACCAGCCUGCUGUUGCGGAACCCCCCACCCCGUGCAGAGAUGCAGCCCUCAGGAAGCAGUGGAAACCAUCGUCGCCUUGAUGCUCUUGUUUCCCUCUUCCUCACAAGCCUUCUCCACCCUCACAUCCCAGCCCCGCACCUGGGAUGGAAUAAGCGUCAGGUUCCUUCCUGGCCACCUGCAUCAAAAGGAGGUCUUGUGGGACAAAAGACAACUGCCAAGGCUAGGCAGGUGACUCUGGUUAAGGGCACUCACAUGGUGGCUCCCAGCUGCCUGUAACUCCAGUUCCAAUGCCCUCUUCUGGCCUCUGUGGGCAUCGGGCAUGCAUGCGGUG